rnacentral:rRNA from 1 species
GGGCCCGCACAAGCGGUGGAGCAUGUGGUUUAAUUCGAUGCAACGCGAAGAACCUUACCUACUCUUGACAUACAGUGAAUCUGGCAGAGAUGGCCGGGGUGCCGCAAGGAACACUGAUACAGGUGCUGCAUGGCUGUCGUCAGCUCGUGUCGUGAGAUGUUGGGUUAAGUCCCGUAACGAGCGCAACCCUUAUUGUUAGUUGACCAGCACGUAAAGGUGGGGACUCUAAGUGAGACUGCCGGUGACAAACCGGAGGAAGGCGGGGGACGACGUCAAGUCAUCAUGGCCCUUACGUCCUGGGCCACACACGUGCUACAAUGGUAGGUCACAGAGGGAAGCCACCCCGCGAGGGGAGCGGA